rnacentral:rRNA from 1 species
UACGGAGGGUGCGAGCGUUGUCCGGAAUCACUGGGCGUAAAGGGCGCGUAGGUGGCGCGGGCAGUCAACGGUGAAAGUUCGGGGCUCAACCCUGAAUCGGCCGUCGAUACUCCUGGGCUCGAGCACUGUAGAGGCAGAUGGAAUUCCGGGUGUAGCGGUGGAAUGCGUAGAGAUCCGGAAGAACACCGGUGGCGAAGGCGGUCUGCUGGGCAGUUGCUGACACUGAGGCGCGACAGCGUGGGGAGCAACAGG